UUUAACUUCAUAUCCUAGUCAAGGUUGAAUUGAGUCGUGGAAAUUCUAUAAGCACACCAAUACUUCUCUCAAAGUUAUUAGCGUCUAAAUCAAAGAGGAUUUGUGUGAGUCUCUCUAACCCUAAUCUAACAUGAUAGCAUUAAGAGCAAGGAAUUUCUUGCCAAGGGUGAGCACGUGUCUACUUGCUCAAAGGUGAGCCCGGCUUCUAACCUAAGAGUAGCCCUAGGCGGAGGAAGAUGCUCAAUCUCUUGAUGCACCUUCAAUCUCCUUCGGCAAGGUUAGGAGAUAAUCUGUUGAGAAUUUGGCUACAAGUUUUCGAGGUGGCAAGACUUCAAUAAAGGGCAAAGAAGCUAUGAAGGAGUAGAAGCCAAGUCCCUAUUUUCUAGCCUAAAAGCUUUGGAAUAGAAAGCCCCGCCUAUUGCAAUAUGGGUCCCCACUGUCAGGCCUACCAAGAAACUAUGUUGUUGAUUGGAUAUAAUCACCGCAUUUAUUAGGUGCGAAGAGAAUCUAACAGGGAAAUUAGAGGGACACCUCCAAGAAAACUGAGGCACAAUGAUUCACUACAUGUAUGGACUCAUCGUCCAACAUCAUUGUGGGCUAAUUUUAUUUUUUUAUAGCAUUUAACCUUGGUGAACCUAGACUUAGCCGCAUCAAAGGCUAGGUUCAUGCUAACUUCUUGAGAGCCCUUAGAGUUGAUUUAUAUUAAAAAGGCAUUACAUCUAAUUUUGAAAUUGUUCUUUAUUUAUUUAUAGUAUUUGGGGUUCAAAAUUUUGUUUUCACGUUCUUCUUGUAUUUUUGUUAAAUUGUCUAUCCACUCACCAAGUAAUUAUGUUGCUCAUCAUAUUUUUCAUUCAUAUUUUCUAUGCUUACGCUGCUAGCUUAGGUUGUGCUUUACAGCAUUGUUGUAUCGAGCUAUGUCAAUGGUCCCAAACUACUUGCAUUGUUAGCU